rnacentral:tRNA from 1 species
CAUUAAAUGGCUGAAAGCAAGCAAUGAUCUCUUAAAUCAUAAUAUAAUAUAUUAGCACAUAUUUUUAAUGA